AACGAACGCUGGCGGCAGGCUUAACACAUGCAAGUCGAACGCAUCCUUCGGGGUGAGUGGCAGACGGGUGAGUAACGCGUGGGAACGUGCCCUUCAGUUCGGGAUAACCCAGGGAAACUUGGGCUAAUACCGGAUACGUGCGAGAGCAGAAAGAUUUAUCGCUGAAGGAUCGGCCCGCGUCUGAUUAGCUAGUUGGUGGGGUAAUGGCCCACCAAGGCGACGAUCAGUAGCUGGUCUGAGAGGAUGAUCAGCCACAUUUGGGCUGAGACACGGCCCAAACUCCUACGGGAGGCAGCAGUGGGGUAUAUUGGACAAUGGUCGCAAGCCUGAUCCAGCCAUGCCGCGUGAGUGAUGAAGGCCUUAGGGUUGUAAAGCUCUUUCGUCCGGGACGAUAAUGACGGUACCGGAAGAAGAAGCCCCGGCUAACUUCGUGCCAGCCGCCGCGGUAA
rnacentral:rRNA from 1 species